rnacentral:rRNA from 1 species
UGCUAUACAUGCAGUCGAGCGAACAGAUGAGAAGCUUGCUUCUCUGAUGUUAGCGGCGGACGGGUGAGUAACACGUGGGUAACCUACCUAUAAGACUGGGAUAACUCCGGGAAACCGGGGCUAAUACCGGAUAAUAUUUUGAACCGCAUGGUUCAAUAGUGAAAGACGGUUUCGGCUGUCACUUAUAGAUGGACCCGCGCCGUAUUAGCUAGUUGGUAAGGUAACGGCUUACCAAGGCGACGAUACGUAGCCGACCUGAGAGGGUGAUCGGCCACACUGGAACUGAGACACGGUCCAGACUCCUACGGGAGGCAGCAGUAGGGAAUCUUCCGCAAUGGGCGAAAGCCUGACGGAGCAACGCCGCGUGAGUGAUGAAGGUCUUCGGAUCGUAAAACUCUGUUGUUAGGGAAGAACAAAUUUGUUAGUAACUGAACAAGUCUUGACGGUACCUAACCAGAAAGCCACGGCUAACUACGUGCCAGCAGCCGCGGUAAUACGUAGGUGGCAAGCGUUAUCCGGAAUUAUUGGGCGUAAAGCGCGCGUAGGCGGUUUCUUAAGUCUGAUGUGAAAGCCCACGGCUCAACCGUGGAGGGUCAUUGGAAACUGGGAAACUUGAGUGCAGAAGAGGAGAGUGGAAUUCCAUGUGUAGCGGUGAAAUGCGCAGAGAUAUGGAGGAACACCAGUGGCGAAGGCGGCUCUCUGGUCUGUAACUGACGCUGAUGUGCGAAAGCGUGGGGAUCAAACAGGAUUAGAUACCCUGGUAGUCCACGCCGUAAACGAUGAGUGCUAAGUGUUAGGGGGUUUCCGCCCCUUAGUGCUGCAGCUAACGCAUUAAGCACUCCGCCUGGGGAGUACGACCGCAAAGUUGA